GCUUUUGUGGUGUAGUGGUCAGCACGCUGGAUGCGUAUUCCAGAGGUCCGUGGUUCGAGUCGGUGAAGGCG
rnacentral:tRNA from 1 species